GACGAAGGAUGCAAGCGUUAUCCGGAUUCAUUGGGUUUAAAGGGAGCGUAGGUGGCCUUAUAAGUCAGUGGUGAAAUCUCUGGGCUUAACCCAGAAAUUGCCAUUGAUACUGUAGGGCUUGAGUAUAGUUGCCGUUGGCGGAAUAUGACAUGUAGUGGUGAAAUACAUAGAGAUGUCAUAGAACACCGAUUGCGAAGGCAGCUGACGAAACUAUAACUGACACUGAGGCUCGAAAAGUGCGGGGAUCAAACAGG
rnacentral:rRNA from 1 species